ACAUUGUAUGAAAAGAGAGAAGGCUGGCACUCCCCUUGGCAAGGGUGGAAGAGGCCCUUGGGCCUGACAACACAUACAGUCUUCCACCUACUUUGUGGCAUCUAACCACUGCUUUUG
rnacentral:ncRNA from 1 species